UCGGAAACCUGAGCCCUGGCCCUGCCAGACUGUUUCCCAUAGACCGAGAAUCUGUGCUCGAGGACCCUGGGCUGAUGGGUGCCCACCUCUGCUCAGAGGCUGGAACACAAAAGCACUGCAGUCUGUCCAGUUCUGCCCAGGUCAAGGCUUGCUUCUCCUGGCGUCCCAAGGCCUCCUUCUCCUGCUGAGGGACAUAGGCAACCACUCUGGGAAGCUCCCUCCUCCCGGGCUGCCCAGCCAGUUGGUCUCUGGCUGCCCUCCAGGAAGCAGAUGGGCAGUGACUGUGCCUCCCCCACAGCCCUGCCCAGAAUGGGUCCCACCCCAGUCAGCCUGGUCUGGCUGCCCCAGCAACGGGGAGGGGCCAGAGCUGUUGGCCCGGAAGAACGCAUGUCUGCUGGUCACCAAGGAUCACAGGGUGAGCAGGACACACUCCAGGUCCCUGACUCCAGAGGGUCAGUUCCACUUCCCACAGGGGCCCUCAGGGUGGCACAGGUUGGGGGCAUUGCCUCAGGGACUCCCCCCCCCCUUAGGGCAGCAGUGAGGAACAGGGCUCCCAGCAUACCCAAGGGACAGGACAGGUGACCCAGGGCAGGGCUCUGCCAGGACCAGUACAGAGGUCCCCAGGCACCUGCCACUUGGCCUCAUAAGCUCAUUUCUGGUAGCUUACCUGUGGCCAAUGGGGUCAAGGAUGCAUUCCCCUGUGCCUAAUCGGAUGUACCUCCUCCAGACCUCGGGACUUAGAGAGGAGACGGCUGCCCGGGAGGGACUUCCCCUCCCUGCUGCCAAGUGGACGCCUGCAGAAAGUCCCUUGGAUUCAAGGCCCCUGUGGACUCUGCUCUGGCUUUCAAUGCACUGACCUCAGACCCUUCUCCAGCCCCAGCCCUGCGGUGCUGUGGGGAGCUGCUGAGUCCCCUUCUGUCUCAGGAUGAGGAGGUUACUCUGGGAAGGAGGGGCUUCACAAGCGCUGUAGACUCCCUGUGGGAAAUGAGGUCAGAGAGGCAGAGGGGAACAGGGCCACCUUGGCCAGCUCCUUGGCCAGGCCACCCCAGGCUAGAGCAAUAAGCAUUGAAGAUGCCUGGAUGCAACCAGCCCUUCUGUCACCGCCAGUAAUUUCCACCCCUGGACUGGCUUUAGACAGGGCCCCGACGCAUGGGCGCUGCUGUCCUUUGGUUUGUCACACCCUCCUAAGGUGGGAGGACUGAGGCCCAGGAGGCAUGGUAGGAGUCAGACCCAGGACAGGCGAAGUGGGCUCCCCACCCGCCUCCACACAGGUCUCUGGGGGCUCCUAGGGCGGGGGGGGUGCGGGGGCAGGUAGAUCAGAGAGGCCCGUGGAAGGCGGCGAGAGUUCCCUAAGGAGACCAGGUCCAGGCUGGCCCACGGUCACUCAUCCCUCGUCCCCACCCUCGACCCUACCCUGUCCCGCAG
rnacentral:lncRNA from 1 species